rnacentral:rRNA from 1 species
AUUGAACGCUGGCGGCAGGCUUAACACAUGCAAGUCGAGCGGGGGAAGGUAGCUUGCUACUGGACCUAGCGGCGGACGGGUGAGUAAUGCUUAGGAAUCUGCCUAUUAGUGGGGGACAACAUCUCGAAAGGGAUGCUAAUACCGCAUACGUCCUACGGGAGAAAGCAGGGGAUCUUCGGACCUUGCGCUAAUAGAUGAGCCUCAGUCGGAUUAGCUAGUUGGUGGGGUAAAGGCCUACCAAGGCGACGAGCUGUAGCGGGUCUGAGAGGAUGAGCCGCCACACUGGGACUGAGACACGGCCCAGACUCCUACGGGAGGCAGCAGUGGGGAAUAUUGGACAAUGGGGGGAACCCUGAUCCAGCCAUGCCGCGUGUGUGAAGAAGGCCUUAUGGUUGUAAAGCACUUUAAGCGAGGAGGAGGCUACUCUAGUUAAUACCUAGGGAUAGUGGACGUUACUCGCAGAAUAAGCACCGGCUAACUCUGUGCCAGCCGCCGCCGUAA